UGAAAAGAGGCUCAGCCUCACUCAGUAAAAUACAUGACCACAAGGUGGGGGGCCCGGGUUUCACCUGUCAGGCAAGCGACAACCCCCACAACCCCCACGUCUGAAAGCAUCUGUUGGCCACGGGAGUGUCAAUUAGUUCCGGCUCUUAAGGAGGCAGCGCCAGCCCGGUCAUGUUGGCUCCCCCUGGGCACGGCCUGGCCCCGCAGGCAGCAUUUCCCAAACCCGUGGGCCCUCUGGCUCGGGGUGGGCUUGGCCAGUGGGGCCUCGGGUGGGAGGCUGGCAGGGGGAGGUUCUCUCGCCUCGGUUCUGCCUCAGUGCCUCUCCUUUGCUCGGUCUCCUUUGCUCCAGCUCGUGCGGGCCAGUUGACCGAGGCCCUAGCUUUGAAAAUACCUCCUCCCUUUGACCCUCCAACUUAGCGGUGGUCGCGGCGUCCAGCUCUUGCUCAUGUGUGCAUUCCUUACCAUUUCCAGUUUCACGUCCAGCUUCUCCGUCAUGCGCGCAACCAAUUCCUUGUAUGAUAUUCCCUUAUUUCAGCUGCUCAGAGGAACUGUGUUUCUGUGGGUGAAUCCCAUCAAUAAAGGGGCAUCGGACAGCAGCUUUUAAAGUGACAGACGUAACAAUCCUUUGGCCCAGCCAGGCCAGGUCUAGGAAUUUAACCUGCAGGUAUGUGUGUGCAUGUGUGAGAUACCACAGGUACGAGAUGAUUCCCUGCUUUGUUGGUGACAGGAAACGGUGGGAAGCGACUGGAGGGCCCCUCAGGACACUGGCCGGAUAACCCUUCCUCGCACAGGUGGGGAGCGAAGUGGGGAGCUUGUGGAAAGGAACCAGAGGCUCCGUAUGGAUUCAUUAGAGAGUUACAGAAGCCAAGUGUGGGAAAAUGUCCAGUGUGUGCUUCCAUUUCCGUGUGUGUGUGUGUGAGAGAGAGAGAGAGAGAGAGAGGAAGUGCAUGCAAAUUCUCGGGAAGGCUAUACAAGGAACCAAUAACAGGGUUACUUGCUGGGGAGGGUGAUGGGAACUGGGCAGGUGGGAGUGUGGGUGCAGAGGAAACUUCUCGCUCUGUGCUUUAAAUUAUUUUGAAAUAGAAGUUGAAGUCUGCCUUUACUUUUCCCCAAGUGGGCAAACCGUUUCACCGAGCAGCAGUAACUGGUAGGAAAACACCCUUUAACAUGUAGAAAGUGAUAACGACAGGGCUGCGUUUCCAGACUGUGCACAGGACAGAAUAACCGUCAUUCCUUGGAGCGUUCGCAGUGACUGGCAGGCGCCCUGAGAGCGCUGAGCGCUUUCUUUCCUGGAGUGUUUACUUACUCAGCGAGCAUUGACAGCACCCCACCCAUGCCGGUCCUGUGCUCGGCUGGAGGGAGCAUGGUGAACACGGCAGUCUUCAUCCAGAUGUCUGGCACCGUGCAGGCAGGGCCUGGCCGCAGCCUCAGACCCGCUUCCAUGGGAACAUGUUAUGUUCUCCGUUUGUUUUGGACGGCAGUUUCCUUCUUGUGUGGACAGAUACAUAUGAAACACAUGCUCUCCGCGUGGAGUUUGUGGUCCUCUGAGAAUUCUCUGGAGGAGGAAAUGGGUUGACCUAUUUGGUUGCUAUGAAAUAAAAACAAUCUUGUUUUCAUUUUUCAGUGAACAUCUGGGUUGCAUUUAUUAUUUUACAUUCUAGAGGUUCUUUUUAAAGCCACAAUUUGAUAAUGUGAGGGUUCAUUAAAGCAGUAACUAGCUGUUUCUGUAAUUAAAUUAAGUGCUAGGGUGGCUGGUAGUUUUAAACAAAUAUUAAAAAAUUGUUUUCUUUUCUACAAAAUGUAACUUUCAAAUGUCAGCCCUUGGUUUUAAACCAUAAAACGGGAUCUAGAUAUUUUGGGGGGAAGGAUUGGUCACCCGGUUUACUCCCUGCUGCCCACGGCGGUGCAGGGUGUGGCCAUG